rnacentral:rRNA from 1 species
GACGAACGCUGGCGGCGUGCUUAACACAUGCAAGUCGAGCGGAGCGGCGAACGGGUGAGUAAAGCGUGAGUAACUGCCCCACUCUCUGGGAUAACAGUUGGAAACGGCUGCUAAUACCGGCUAGUGGGGGAUGAUGCGCGUCCUAUCCGCUUGUUGGUGGGGUAGUGGCCUACCAAGGCGACGACGGUUAGCCGGCCUACGAGGGAGACCGGCCACAUUGGGCUGAGAUACGGCCCAAACUCCUACGGGAGGCAGCAGUGGGGAAUAGUGCACAAUAGCGGAAACCCGGAUGCAGUAACGCCUCGUGCGUGAUGACGGCCUUUGGGUUGUAAACCGCUGUCAGCCAUGACGCGGUAGUGGAAGAAGAAGCACCGGCUAACUACGUGCCAGCAGCCGCGGUAAUAC